GACGAACGCUGGCGGCAUGCCUAACACAUGCAAGUCGAACGAGAUCUUCGGGUCUAGUGGCGCACGGGUGCGUAACGCGUGGGAAUCUGCCCUUUGGUUCGGAAUAACAGUUGGAAACGACUGCUAAUACCGGAUGAUGACGUAAGUCCAAAGAUUUAUCGCCAGAGGAUGAGCCCGCGUAGGAUUAGCUAGUUGGUGUGGUAAAGGCGCACCAAGGCGACGAUCCUUAGCUGGUCUGAGAGGAUGAUCAGCCACACUGGGACUGAGACACGCCCAGACUCCUACGGGAGGCAGCAGUGGGGAAUAUUGGACAAUGGGCGAAAGCCUGAUCCAGCAAUGCCGCGUGAGUGAUGAAGGCCUUAGGGUUGUAAAGCUCUUUUACCCGGGAUGAUAAUGACAGUACCGGGAGAAUAAGCUCCGGCUAACUCCGUGCCAGCCGCCGCCGUAA
rnacentral:rRNA from 1 species